GACCUGAUGGCGCAGUGGCAAGCGCGUCUGUCGAUGCUGACAGAAGGCUCCUGUUCGAUUCAGGAUCGGGUCG